CAUCCGAAGCGGCACCUACUAUAAGUGCCUCUGUGACAGGGGGCGUGCACCCCUGUCACUAACAGUGAUGUAAUUGGCCGCGGGGAUGGAGCGGGGGGACGAGGCACAGUACUUAUCUACAUGUGUGGCCGCCUAUUAGCUCCCCGGUUAUGCAGUCCGGCCAGAGGCAGAGGGGAGAUAGGAGCCGCCACCGCGAUACCCUUUACUCAGGAAUAUCACCCGCCCGCCUGCUGGCCUACCAGGACGCCCGGCCAGCGCACGGAGUCACCCGCCCAGCGCACGGACUCCUCUGGCCGCCCGGCGCACGGACUCCUCCGGCUGCCCAACCGGCCGUCCGCCCGGCGCAUGGACUCCUUCGGCCGCCCGCCCGCCCGGACUCCUCGUCUGCCUGGAGUGAGGCAGCCAGAGCAGAGGGGAGCAGCUUGUAAAUAGGACGGAGGGAGAGAUCGCGGCCAGGAGCUACAGGCAUCUUCCGGAUCAUGUGACCUCCUACAUGAAUAGUGAUUACUGACUGAAGACGCCGUCUGCCCAGGAAGGACAUUUCUUCAGAGGUUCCCCGUUAUGAGAAACACCAUAUAGAAUAUCCGAGUGCACAGUGCUUAUCCGUGCUCAGUAACCAGCGUCGCCCGGGGUGACAGUCCAGGAAUGUGACACCCCGCUGUGAGCACGCAGAGUCUCCGCAAUCUCAUGGGAUUCACCAAACUACAGGAGAAGUGGAAGAUCCCUUUUGUCACACGUCUCCCUGCCCUGGAGACAUCAGAGGGUUUACAAAGGAAGCUACAGAUUACCUCCCCCCAAUGUUACCUCUCAGCGUCAUUCCUGUGCCCCAGCCAGCAAGUCGGAGACUGUCCAAACACACAGGCCUGGGAGAGCCAGUCCACAAAGUGCCUCAGGGAGAGGACAGACGGUGACCCGGGGCGUCGUCACCUUCACUCAGAAUGCCACAACUUACUUUAUAUAAAGAAUGUCAGGAAUGCAGCUAAUAUUUGGGUGCAUUUGUGCUUACCCUGGUAUUGUCUAUACUGCACAUGGACUUAAUGGCCGGCAAACUCCACAGACUCUCCCCAUCCACCGCCGUGAAAACCACUCUGGAAUAAUGGUCGUCUGACGUAAUAAAGGGGGAAAAAUAAAUAAAUUCAAAUGCAAGAUUAAACAGGGAUAUACUGUAUACAA